rfam:Rattus norvegicus chromosome 3, whole genome shotgun sequence.
UAACAGGUUUUUUUUAAAACCAACUUAAAAGAUUUAUGAGAACACAU